GUGGGGAAUAUUGGACAAUGGGCGCAAGCCUGAUCCAGCAAUGCCGCGUGAGUGAUGAAGGCCUUAGGGUUGUAAAGCUCUUUUACCCGGGAAGAUAAUGACUGUACCGGGAGAAUAAGCCCCGGCUAACUCCGUGCCAGCAGCCGCGGUAAUACGGAGGGGGCUAGCGUUGUUCGGAAUUACUGGGCGUAAAGCGUACGUAGGCGGUUUUGUAAGUUAGAGGUGAAAGCCCGGAGCUCAACUCCGGAACUGCCUUUAAGACUGCAUCACUUGAACGUCGGAGAGGUGAGUGGAAUUCCGAGUGUAGAGGUGAAAUUCGUAGAUAUUCGGAAGAACACCAGUGGCGAAGGCGGCUCACUGGACGACUGUUGACGCUGAGGUACGAAAGCGUGGGGAGCAAACAGGAUUAGAAACCCCAGUAGUCC
rnacentral:rRNA from 1 species